rnacentral:misc_RNA from 1 species
CAAACACAAUCUCAAAAUCCACACCUCUCAGGGGGCACUCCUGUCAGAUCAUACAAUUGGCACUUGAAAACAUAGGGGGGCAGGCUUGUAUCGAUCUCCACCUUUGGAAAGACCUCCUUUUGCCAUUUUACAUUCACUUUUAGCAUGAUUGAUAGGUGUUUGGAGAGAUCGACAGAGAGAAUGAGAGGUGUGGAUUUUGAGAUUGUGUUUGUGCUUUUGCCUUGCUUGAGGUUGAGGAAAAGAAACACAGAGCUUUGAGAGUUCUUGCAGUCGUACGAAUUCGAUUUUAAGCUUUGUA